GUUUGCACCGAUGGGUCUUCAGCUGGCGGUGGUGAAACCUUGCCCGAGAGCUGAGCACCUGGGCGAUCCCUGCACUGCCUUGUGCAAGGAUCAGCUUCGUUCUUUCCCCCACGCUCACCGUUCCUGCCAGCAGAGACCUUGAGGGCUAAAUCACCUGAAGGUUUCUCCUAAAAGCCUUGGCCGUUCCCUUAGGGUUGGCGUGCCGUGAUCCUCGGUGCCCACCAUGUGCUGCCAAGGCACUGUGCAAACAUCUUCAUGAAAAUAAAAACCAAAAACCCAGACUGAAAACGCAGCCAGCACUUCGGAAUUAGGCCAACUUGCGGGAUCGCUCCACCCCCUGCAGAGAGGGAGGUGCCUGCCAUUAUUCCUCUAAAUCAAUAUCCUCUUAACUCUGCCAUCCGUGCUUUCAAGGAGGAAACUUCCCGCGGGAGGUGCGGGUUGGUGUUAGCUCGGUUCCCCCUGGCACGUGUGUUCAGCUGCACUAAUGGGAAAGCAAUUUGCAGCCUGCUUUGUGAUUCCUGCUAUUUGUUUGAGUUUGGAUUUCAUUGCUUUUGCUUUCUAUAUUGUAUACCCAAGAAUUUGGGCUCGGUUGUGAGCUCAGAAAUAUUAAAAAAAAGAAACAAAUAUAUAGCAGAAUAAAAAACACUUCAUCACGCCUGGCUUUUUUUUCCCCUCCCUGGUCUCUGCUUUCUUUUUGAACCAGUGACCUCGUCUUCUUCCUAACUGCACCAUCAGGCUAGCCGAAAUUAACAUCUCAAAACGUGGCUGUGUAUUAUCUCAGCUAUCUGUUGUCGAAACAAGACGUGUAUGUGAGGAGCCGUAUCCAUAAUAGCAAUGUUCUAGAACAUGCAUUCUCCAGGUAACACCUUAGUGAUUGUAUUAAAGCUGUAUUCACGCUUCCUCUGUUAGCUUUUAACGGCCGUGUCUGCAGUUGAGUUGUUAUUGGGUUGAGCCUUGCUGCGGUUGGUUCCUGAUUGAACACGAUUCCAGUUGGGGCAUGAACUUUGGGCACGUUUGUAUCGUCUCACGAGAAGAGACUUUUCUGUUCCAGCCUCGUGCAAAGUCCCUAGAGGAUGCGCUGCAGCAGCGUAGAGCACUGCCAUCGUCUGCCAGGAGCUAGGUAGGGAGAUUUCCCCUUGCUUUCCUCUUGCUUUGGCAUACUGAGAGCCAGAAGUGCCUGAACCAAGCACAGCAUGUUUUGUAGAGGUGGGCAGAAGCUGCUCUGUCCUAUAACUGAAUGUCUUCUAGCAAAGAAGGCAAAAUUCAGCACUCUUGAGUCAGUCGUGCUCACUGAGGGGUAAAAUCUGGCACACGGAACGGCACAGAACGGGCUUGGGGCACGCUAAUUUUCCUCUAGUUGCGUGCGGUGCUGACUUCCCAAAGAGUAGCGGUGAAUUCGUGAUGCCUCCUAGGCAGACACGGGGCGUCUCGGUGCAAUUAAGCGACCCGUGUAAUUAGGUUUGUAGAGCAUCAGUCAGACUCGGCAUUUCUGUCACUAGUUGCACGUUUUCUCAGGUGGCACCCGACCAAAUGAAGUUUAGUUUCCUUGCAUCGCCCUUCCUGUGCGAGCCCUGUAGCUCUUAACGUGUCAAACACAACACUUGACUUCUGUACCAUCUCACCAAGCUUCAUUAAGAGCUUUCUCUGCAUGCAUCUUUAGCAGGCUUUAAAUUGUCCCGAGAUUUUGGCCAUUUUUGUCACUUCCUACGCAGAAGAUGCGAAGGGGAACAGCGCCGCCGGGCUAGUGAAAGCAUUGGCGAGCAUCUUUGCUGUGAAGGACAGGGGAUUGUACAGCCUGCAGCCACUUCAUGGCUUUUUUUUCUGUGAUUUUUUUUCCUUUCCCCUCGUAAAUUAUUUGAAAAUAGGGUAGUGGGAGGGAAACAACUAGCGGGACUCAAGGUGAGAUGAUUUACCAUAGCGUGCUUUAAGCUGUCGAGAGCCUUUCGGUUCCUGCACAGCCGUGACGCUGUUAAACGUCUGCAAAUGGAGCAAACAUUUCAUGGCAGUCUUUUCCCCUCGCUAGGAAUUCCUCAGAUUUUUGAGAAUAUUAGUUUUGGAAGAUCGUAUCCCACUCUAUUUUUAUAGCAAGCACAACAGCGUCGGUUUAUCCUUGCUUGGCCAGGUAUUUUAAACAAGCGAAAACAAAAUAUUCCAUAGCAAAUGACACAUUAAAGCUACGUUGGUAAUUGCGGGAAAGCUCAUCUGUAUUUAUAAAAUAAAACUGAUUAGUAUCUCUCAGAA